GUGAGGGCAACGACAAUGGAGUGUGCUGAUUAACCAACGACAAGCAAACGAGCACUCACAAUAAGCAGAAGCAACUAGUAACUCUGCCACCCACGAGACCUCCUUAUAGUUACUUCAUGGCUUUGGCUCUCCCCCGCUCAGUCACUCACGCGUUCUUCUGCUCUCUCUCUCUCUCUCUCUCACUCAAUCGCUUCUUUUGCGCUCUUUCUGACGACACACACAUGUGCACAUGCGAUGCGAGCUUUGUGAAUAAAAGUGCAAAUUCAUGUUUAGUUUGACUAAAUCUGUAUAAAUCCAAAGAGCAAAUGCCAGCACAGUCGUCAGUCAGCAGUCAGGAAUCAGCAACGGGAAAGAGCAAGGUAAAUGGAUUCCUGGCUUCUGGUGCUGUGGGUCAAAUGAAAUUAUCAUCCGUCCGCUCCCCCCCCACAGCUCGUACUUAGCCCGAACCAAGACGCGACGCCUACUUGUUGCUCGAAAAAGGCAAUUUUCACGCUCAUUACAAAUUUGCAUAAUUACACCAGACUCUCUCCCCUGUCGGUAAUCCAAAGCGGAGGACACUCAUAGCCUGCAGGGGGAACCCAAAUGAGCUUUUCAUGGCACUCCCGCGUGAAGAGUCGCGACGCUCUAAGCGCCACGCGA
rnacentral:lncRNA from 1 species